rnacentral:rRNA from 1 species
UACGUAGGGUGCGAGCGUUGUCCGGAAUUAUUGGGCGUAAAAGAGCUCGUAGGCGGUGUGUCACGUCGAUCGUGAAAACUUACAGCUUAACUGUGAGCGUGCGGUCGAUACGGGCAUCACUGGAGUUCGGCAGGGGAGACUGGAAUUCCUGGUGUAGCGGUGAAAUGCGCAGAUAUCAGGAGGAACACCGGUGGCGAAGGCGGGUCUCUGGGCCGAUACUGACGCUGAGGAGCGAAAGCGUGGGGAGCGAACAGG